ensembl:ncRNA F57A10.8 ncRNA
AUCAUGAUAAUUGAAUCGAGAGCUGGGUAUACUGUGAAGCCGCUCUGAAUUAUACAAGACGGGAAGCUCAUUUCCAAGUCUGCAAAUGGAGCAUAGAUCAUGAAGAAGACUGGACAGAACAGUAUGAUUGUGGGCGCAGUGAUCUGUAAA